GUUUGAUCCUGGCUGAGGAUGAACGCUGGCGGCGUGCUUAACACAUGCAAGUCGAACGAUGAUCCCAGCUUGCUGGGGGAUUAGUGGCGAACGGGUGAGUAACACGUGAGUAACCUGCCCUUGACUCUGGGAUAAGCCUGGGAAACUGGGUCUAAUACCGGAUACGACCAUCUGGCGCAUGUCAUGGUGGUGGAAAGCUUUUGUGGUUUUGGAUGGACUCGCGGCCUAUCAGCUUGUUGGUGGGGUAAUGGCCUACCAAGGCGACGACGGGUAGCCGGCCUGAGAGGGUGACCGGCCACACUGGGACUGAGACACGGCCCAGACUCCUACGGGAGGCAGCAGUGGGGAAUAUUGCACAAUGGGCGCAAGCCUGAUGCAGCGACGCCGCGUGAGGGAUGACGGCCUUCGGGUUGUAAACCUCUUUCAGUAGGGAAGAAGCGAAAGUGACGGUACCUGCAGAAGAAGCGCCGGCUAACUACGUGCCAGCAGCCGCGGUAAUACGUAGGGCGCAAGCGUUAUCCGGAAUUAUUGGGCGUAAAGAGCUCGUAGGCGGUUUGUCGCGUCUGCUGUGAAAGACCGGGGCUCAACUCCGGUUCUGCAGUGGGUACGGGCAGACUAGAGUGCAGUAGGG
rnacentral:rRNA from 2 species